UCUGACAUUGACAGUAAUUUGUUUUGGGGUACGACGACGGGAUAGUUUUUUCUUCUUUCUGGAGAAUUUCCUGAAUUUCUUCGUGAAAAUUACGAAUUUUUUUAAGGACACAUUUUGAAAUAGUUUUAACAUAAUUCAUAAAAUGAUACAUUUACACUGAGAUUCAAAAGCCAAUCAAAAUGAAAUGUCAUGUACCUGGCGCGAACGUUAAAGUUUUAGGAAGGACUGUGCAUGCCUUAGCCAGAUUUGGAGAUGAGUUGUACCUCGAGUCACUUCCAGAUUGUAUACUUUUGAGAACACUAAAUGCAGCAGAAUCAGCUUACGCGAUGGUGAAGUUCAAUAAAAAUUUCUUUUCCUACUUCAAUUAUAAUUACUACUCCACUGAAGAUAACGAAGGGUUGAAGUGUAAAAUCUCAAUGAAAUCUGCUUUGAAUACAUUCAAGUCUCCAACACAUAUGGACAAACAAGUUGAGAAUUUGGAAAUAAAACUUGACCCAGAGUCAUGUAAACUUAUAUUUCAGUUGAAAUGUAAGCAUGGCAUAGUCAAGACACAUUAUAUAUCAAUACUAGACUGCAAAGCAAUGCAAGCUGUUUACACAAAGGACUUGGUACCGAAUAGAAUAACAUCACCCCAGAGAAUAUUGUCAGAAGCAUUGGGCAACUUCCAGAGUUCCGAUGACCAGGUUACUCUUGAGGCUACUGCACAAUC